rnacentral:lncRNA from 1 species
GAAAGGCAUCCUAGUACCAUAGCCCUCUUGAGUUUUUACAUGGAACGAGGAUCCCACAGUAGUAUUGUACGUCUGAAUUUUUGGUACAGGUCAUCAGGGGAGAAAAGGACAACUUUUCAAUUGAGCGUUGCAAUCCGAUCUUCGGUUUCAUGGCUCAGAAACCAAUACCUCCAAACAAAAAGCAGACAAUAAGAGUGGAUACAUUCGUACUUUUUGCAGUUCAUAUAACACUGCAGAGUGCGCCUAAGGCUGAGCGAGUAGAAGAAAUUGGCGGGUGAAUGUGAUUUCUGAAGCCCAGGUGGAGUGGAAGUUUCCCACGGAAUUUGCUACCGGAACAGCUCCAAGACCUGUGUCCUCCAAGCAUCUGAUUUGAUGAGUACCCGACCAGCACCAGCACACAUAAACACGUACGAUUUAUGUGUCUGUAGAUCCGUAAGAUAAACCACCGAAAAAGGAAUACCAGCAUCAGCGUUAGAAGUACCGAAGAAAUAACUUGUCAACAAUAGGGAAUAGAGGAACACAUGGAAACUACCAUUCCUCCUGUCUAAAAAUCAUCAUAAUGGGUCUCUAUUGGCAAAACAACAUGAGACUCUUUGUCGUCCCGUGUCUCUGGUUUGGCUUUGGCAGGCCAAUCAAAAUAAGAAACUUUCAACAAUACUCUUUUCAAAGGUUAAAGGUUAACUACUGCAGUGGAAUGGUAUAUAUGGUCACAACAUGUCAUUCUUCAUUGUUUUAGAAUUUUGGCAUAACUUGGGCAAAGGCUGAGCGCACAGACAUACAGACCAUGCAACUUAAGCUGCUUCUCUGACCGGCAUGUUCACAAUAUCAGGGGAGGAGUACCUAAAAUAAAUUGCACGCCUAGCCAUUAGAGGAAAAUAAUUUGAGAAGCCAAAGAAAGGUGAGAUCCUGUAGAGCUGGAGGAGGAUAUGGAUUCAACUAAGCACAUGGUUACCAGUUAUUUAAGUACUUGUAGUACCACUUCAAACAAGAAGUAUGCACUAUAUGU